rnacentral:tRNA from 1 species
UGAGGUUUAGCUCAGUGGUAGAGCGCUCACCUAGCAUGCGGGAGGCCCAGGGUUUGAUUCCCAGUAUUUAAA